rnacentral:rRNA from 1 species
GAUAAACGCUGGCGGCGUGCCUAACACAUGCAAGUCGAACGCUCUGCGUAAGCAGAGAGUGGCGGACGGGUGAGGAACACGUGGGGAUCUACCCAGAGGUGAGGAAUACCGGCGAGAAAUCGCCGACAAUACCGCAUACGCUUCUUUCGAGAAGCAAAGCCGCAAGGCGCCUGUGGAUGAACCUGCGCCCGAUUAGUUGGUUGGUGGGGUCACGGCCUACCAAGACGACGAUCGGUAGCUGGUCUGAGAGGACGAUCAGCCACACUGGGAUUGAGAA